UGCCCAGUAACUCAGUUCUUAGAACAAUGCUAACCCUCCCUUCACAACCCACCGGAUAACUGUAAGCGUUCAUCCCUACCCCCACCACCCUGCCUCCUUCCCCCGCAAGGUAGUCAUAGAUGUCUGCUGCAAUUAGGAUGACCUUUAUAUGGCCGUACUGUUCUUAUUUUUAUCUUUGUUCAGGGUUCUGUCUUGACUUGUAACAAUGUCUGUCUCUGUAUGUACAGAAAUGCAAAUGAAUUGAUAAGAGAAUGUAUAUAACUGGCCACUAUGGCACCAUAUUUUCAAAGCUGCUUGUCAGUCUUUCCUGUACUGUGAAUAAACCCCCUUCAGUAUUGUCUGUGCCUGCCUGAUUCUUGGGGAAAAGAAUCCUUUUGCCUAACAAAGAUGUUUCACAUAAAAGGAUGAUAAUGCAACAGACAGUUAAACCACUGACAUGUGCCUGAGGACAAAAGAUCUUUAUUACAUAGCAACAAGGAAGAAACUUUGGUGGUGGUGGGGAAUUACUACUGGAGCGAGCUUCCCCAUCAUGGCUGCCACCCCUAUCGUCUCUUAGAAUCCAGGACCUCCUCCAUCCUAAUCCUGACUAGACCAGGCCAGAGAGAGGUUGGCAGAUGACAUCACCACCUCCACCAGCUCCACCUAAAUCCUGAAUACCUCCUGGGAUGUGAAACUUUGUCACUCGCAUCCCAAUUUGUGUGUUCUUUUCCUUCCGCAUCUCAUUUCUGAUCUCUCUCCUCUCUCUCUCUCUCCUUUUUCCUUCUAUAUGAAAAGAGUUUGACUUAACUAGUCAAGACUGCAUGUUUUGCCACAGUGCUGUGAUCCUGUGAACAGAGGCAGCUAACUGCAAUGCCCUGAAUAGCUGAUGCUGGUACAAGUUUGCCAGAUCUUGGAGUGGCUGAUAAGAUUGUGGGCUGUUUCUGUGUUUUUUUCAGUGGGGAGGUGGCACCAGAGACAGAAGCUUCAUUUUCUAUCUUUGGUAUUCUUUUUCUCCCCUUUCGUGUGUGUUUGUCUUAUUUUAUUUUUCUUGUGAGCAAAUGGGAUUGGAUUUGAACAACAACAGCAACAAUUCCAACCCAGCUCAACUAACUUUAUCUCUUUCCCCACAAAGUGACAGCUAUUACUAUUUUUGAUACCAUCUAAUAUACUGUCAAACAAGGGUGGUUUUUAUCCUUCUAAAAACUCUCUCCAGUUAAAGGGAACAAGGGCUGUUGUUAAAAUGAAAGCCCUAUUUAAUAUUUUAAUUUCAAAUGCUUUAACUGUUUUUCCUUCUUGUCUGUAUCUUUAAUAAAAGGAUAAAAAGAUUUUUAAUGGUGUGUUUCCCAUGGUACUAACAGGCUGAGGGCUCUGUAUACCAGAUCCCAAACCUUGUUUAACACUGCUUAAUGUUGGAUAUUAACAGGGUCUUGUUAACACUUUUGAUUCUUUGAGUCCCUUUAUUCCAUCUAAAUUAAUGCAACAGCUAUUAAUAAUGUGGCACACUUCAUAUUCCUUUGUGCUACUGACUCAGGUCUUGUACCCAUUCUGACAGUCCCCAGGGUACAAUCUGGACAAUUGAACAGCUGUGUCCUCUCAACCCUCCAACCUGGAGUGCCUUUCACACUGUUUUCCUAUGAGAACAGCUGCUCCUGGCCUGUUCGCACACUGCUUCUAGCAUGCAAAAUCACUCCCAGUUGAAUAAUGUGAGUGUUCUAGAUAGUCACUCCUGAAUUAUAUUGCAGAGUGACACCAGCAAAUUCUCAGUCCCAGACUUGUCCCCAGAAAUGUGCAUCUUGUACUGUCCAGCAUUCUCCUGAACAAUACAAGUUCAGACGAAAUCUGCCAAUUUAUUAAUAGAAAAUGAUAUGCAGAAACCCUGUUAUCACAAAUGGAGGUUCCAAGCACUUCAAUCCAAACACAUACUGGUUUAGAUAAAACAAUAAAAGAAGUUUAUUAACUACAGAAAGAUAGAUUUUAAGUGAUUACAAAUAACAAGGCAUAAAAGUCAGAAUUUGUUACAAAGAAAUAAAAGGUAAAAUGCAAACGAAUACCUAAUUUAACAAGCUAAAUGAACUUAAAGCAAAAAUUACCAUGUGCUUACAACAUUCUGGAUAGAUUCCUUCCCAACCAGGACCCCUCCCCCUGUUCAGUUAUGCUUUUUUUGUCUUUCAAAUGUUGUUGAUGCCAUAAGUAGAGAUUAGGGGAGAGAGGUGAUUUGGGUUCUCUGUUCUCCCUUCUUUUAGUAUUUCUCUUUUUGAGAAUCUUCUUCAGCAGUUCAGGCAACAGCAAGUCUGUUUGCCAAGAUGUAAAUUCCUCACUCACACCCUUCUUCCUGGUAAAGAAUGGCUGCUUAACCAAGUGAUAAUCUAUGUGAUUAUACUGACACCUUGUAGAGGCAUCAGUUUGCUUAUUGUCUCAGAAGAACCGGUUUUCUGCCCACUUUUCUAACCUUUGAGCAUGUCUCAGUAAGGUCAUACAGUAGAAUCUUAUAACUUUACAUACAAUGUUGCCACACAUAUUUUACCAGGACAAUAAUGUUCUGCACAUUAUGAGUUUUCAAAUGAUACCUCACCAGGCAUACUUUGUAAAAAAAAAAAGCAUUAUAGUCUUGUAAAAGUGUUGAAUAUAGGGGUACACUUUGUCAUACCAAUACUUUAGGAGGGAGGCAAGUAUCAUUUCCCUAAUGGGGUAACAGAGAGGUGCACAAGAUCAUAAAAUCAUAGAAUAUUAGGGUUGGAAGAGACCUCAGGAGGUCAUCCAGUCCAAUCCUCUGCUCAAAGCAGUAACAACACCAACAAAUCAUCUGAGCCAUGGCUUUGUCAAGCCAGGCCUUAAAAACCUCUAAGGAUGGAGAUUCCAUCACCUCCCUAGGUAACCCAUUCCAGUGCUUCACCACCCUCCUAAUGAAAUAACGUUUCCUAAUAUCCAACCUAGACCUCCCCCACUGCAACUUGAAACCAUUGCUCCUUGUUCUGUCAUCUGCCACCACUAAGAACAGCCAAGCUCCAACUUCUUUGGAACCCCACUUUAGGUAGUUGAAGGCUGCUACCAAAUCCCCUCCUCCCCCCCCCCCCCGCACACACACACUUCUCUUCUGCAGACUAAAUAACCCCAGUUCCCUCAGCCUCUCCCUUUAAGACAUGUACCCCAUCCCCCUAAUAAUUUUUGUUGCCUUCCACUGGACUCUCUCCAAUUAGUCCACAUCCCUUCCGUAAAACUGGACACAAUACUCCAGGUGUGGCCUCACCAAUGCCAAAUAGAGGGGAAUAAUCACCUCCCUCGAUCUACUGGCAAUGCUCUUAUUAAUACAGCCCAAUAUGCCGUUGGCCUUCUGGCAACAAGGGAACACUGCUGACUCAUAUCCAACUUCUCAUCCAUUGUAAUCCCCAGGUACUUUUCUACAGAACUGUUGCUUAGCCAGUCAGUCCCCAGCCUGUAGCGGUGCAUGGGAUUCUUCCUUACUAAGUGCAAGACUCUGCACUUGUCCUCCUUGAACCUCAUCAGAUUUAUUUUGGCCCAAGCCUCCAAUUUGUCUAGGUCACUCUGGACCCUACCCCUACCCUUCAGAGUAUCCACCUCUCCCCCCAGUUUAGUGUCAUCUGCAAACCUGCUGAGGGUGCAAUUAAUCCUAUCAUCCAGAUCACUGAUAAAGAUAUUGAACAAAACUGGCUCAGGACCAAUCCCUGGGGCACUCUGCUUGAUACCGGCUGCCAACUAGACAUUGAGCUGUUGAUCACUACCAGUUGAGCCCAACAAUCUAGCCAGCUUUCUGUCCACCUGAUAGGUCACUCCUGGCAGAUCUCAAAAUAGAACCCUAUUGCUAAUAUUCACAUAGCCACACUUUUUAAGAAUAAAAGUGCCAAACCUCUUUGCUGUAUGCAACUACCAGAUACCCAUACCCCCUCCAGAGCCAGGAAUAGAACCAGAAAUGGGAGAUUCCUACUUCUCUUUCUAUUGCUGUCUAGCAAAUAGUUAUGUAAGCCAGUGGCAAAGUGUGCGUUGCAUUCUCUGUUUUGCCUGGUGCACAUAGUAGCCUGAUAUGCAGCUCAAGUAGUCGAAGUCUGUGCUCUGCUGCAAAAGGACUUUCAUAUAAUUGAUAAUUCACACCAUAUGAUUCUGAAUGCAUGCAAGAGAGAAGAUUUGGUAAGGACCUGACCCUGUAAACUUCUGCCCAUGAAAAUGAUCCAUUGAAUUCAAUGGGACCACUCAUGGACUUAAAGCUACCCACAUGCAUAAGUCUUUACAGGACUGUGGCCUAAGGCAGUGCCCCAUUUACAUAGUCACAUUUCAGAACACAAUAACACUUUGACUUUGUCUGGGGUAGGGGAAGGAGGGAGAAAGAAUUUCUUGAUCUAGAGCUGGUGUAUUCUUAUUUUUGAGAGUCUAAGUUCCAAACUUAACAAAAGUGAUUUGAUGUGUAAAUUAUCAUAGACAAUGGGUAAAAAAAGUCUGUAUAAAACUGGGGAAUGUGAAAUUAAACAAUGUAUUCUUAACGUAUAUCUCUGUGAUGAUUAAUUGUUGGCUUUUGGCUAGCUAGUUUGUUAGCAUAGAUAUUUCUUGGAUUUACAUUUUUCUAAUGCUCUGAAAAAUAACACAGAUCUUAUGCACACAUACAUAUAUAGACCCAUAAACAUUAUGAAUUUGUAACAGUAUAAUUUGAGAAUAUGUUUCCAAGAGAUUACUCCUAAAUUCAAAUAUGGUUUGUUUGGCAGAUCUGUAAAAAUGAAAUGUUUCUGCAUUUGCCAUGUUGAUUGAAGUAAUAAUAAAAAUGAAUUGCCUGUAAUCCAAUAAAACAUAAUUAUACCUUACCUGAUUCAAAUACAAUUGUGGAUGUUGGAAUAUGAGAGUCAGACAUGGAAUGAGUUGUUAUAUGAAUAAUUCUUAAAGGAAGAUGAUUAAUGAGAUAAGUGAGUAGACUUGGUGUAAACAAAAAUACAAAUUGUAAUGCGGGCACAUGA